UUGAGGAGGGGAGCGAGCAGUGCUUUGGGGGAGGGGUCGCGUAGGUGCCUCACCCGACUCUGCCGCGGCGCAAUUGCUGCUCCCUGCCGGGUUUCAUUCCUGGCGAGGGGUGCAGAAUCAUGUACAUAAAGCAGGUGAUUAUCCAGGGUUUUCGAAGUUACAGAGAUCAAACAAUUGUAGAGCCCUUCAGUUCAAAACAUAAUGUGAUUGUGGGCAGAAAUGGAUCUGGGAAAAGUAACUUUUUUUAUGCAAUUCAGUUUGUUCUCAGUGAUGAGUUUAGUCAUCUUCGUCCAGAACAGCGGUUGGCCUUAUUGCAUGAAGGUACUGGUCCUCGUGUUAUUUCUGCUUUUGCGGAGAUUAUUUUUGAUAAUUCAGACAACCGGUUACCAAUUGAUAAAGAGGAAGUUUCACUUCGAAGAGUUAUUGGUGCCAAAAAAGAUCAGUAUUUCUUAGACAAGAAGAUGGUCACGAAAAAUGAUGUGAUGAACCUUCUUGAAAGUGCUGGGUUUUCCCAAAGCAAUCCUUACUAUAUUGUUAAACAAGGAAAGAUCAACCAGAUGGCGACAGCGCCAGAUUCUCAGAGAUUAAAGCUAUUAAGAGAAGAAGCUGGUACUAGAGUGUAUGAUGAACGAAAGGAAGAAAGCAUCUCUUUAAUGAAAGAAACAGAGGGCAAACGGGAAAAAAUCAAUGAGUUGUUAAAAUACAUUGAAGAGAGAUUACAUACUUUAGAGGAAGAAAAGGAAGAACUAGCUCAGUAUCAGAAGCGGGAUAAAAUGAAAUGAGCCCUGGAAUAUACCAUUUACAAUCAGGAACUUAACGAGACUCAUGCUAAACUUGAUGAGCUUUCUGCUAAGCGAGAGACUAGUGGAGAAAAAUCCAGACAAUUAAGAGAUGCCCAACAGGAUGCAAGAGAUAAAAUGGAGGAUAUUGAACGCCAAGUCAGAGAAUUGAAAACAAAAAUUUCAGCUAUGAAAGAAGAAAAAGAACAGCUUAGUGCUGAAAGACAAGAACAAAUUAAGCAGAGAUCUAAGUUGGAGCUUAAAGCCAAGGAUUUACAAGAUGAACUGGCAGGCAAUAGUGAACAGAGGAAACGCUUAUUAAAGAGGCAGAAGCUGCUUGAAAAAAAAUAGAAGAAAAGCAGAAAGAACUGGCAGAAACAGAACCUAAAUUCAACAGUGUAAGAGAGAAAGAAGAACGAGGAAUUCCUAGAUUGGCUCAAGCUACCCAGGAAAGAAUGGUCUUUACACAAAACAGGGUCGAGGAAGCCAGUUUACAUCAAAAGAAGAAAGGGAUAAAUGGAUUAAAAAGGAACUAAAGUCUUUAGAUCAGGCUAUUAAUGACAAGAAAAGACAGAUUGCUGCUAUUCAUAAGGAUUUGGAAGAUAGUGAAGCAAAUAAAGAGAAAAAUCUGGAGCAGUAUAAUAAACUGGACCAGGAUCUUAAUGAAGUCAAAGCUCGAGUGGAAGAACUGGACAGAAAAUAUUAUGAAGUAAAAAAUAAGAAAGAUGAAUUACAAAGUGAGAGAAAUUACUUGUGGAGAGAAGAGAAUGCAGAACAGCAAGCACUUGCUGCUAAAAGAAGAUCUUGAAAAGAAGCAACAACUUCUUAGAGCGGCAACGGGAAAGGCCAUUUUAAAUGGAAUAGACAGCAUAAACAAAGUGCUAGACCACUUUCGUUGAAAAGGAAUAAACCAGCAUGUUCAAAAUGGCUAUCAUGGCAUUGUGAUGAAUAACUUUGAAUGUGAACCAGCUUUCUACACAUGCGUGGAAGUCACUGCUGGAAACAGGUUAUUUUAUCACAUUGUUGAUUCAGAUGAAGUCAGCACAAAGAUUUUAAUGGAGUUUAAUAAAAUGAAUCUUCCUGGAGAGGUUACUUUUCUACCUCUUAACAAGUUAGAUGUCAGGGAUACUGCCUAUCCUGAAACCAAUGAUGCCAUUCCUAUGAUCAGUAAACUGAGGUACAAUCCCAGAUUUGACCAAGCUUUCAAACAUGUGUUUGGAAAGACACUUAUUUGUCGUAGCAUGGAAGUUUCAACCCAGCUGGCCCGUGCUUUCACUAUGGACUGCAUUACUUUGGAAGGUGACCAGGUCAGUCAUCGGGGUGCUCUAACUGGAGGUUAUUAUGACACAAGGAAGUCUCGACUUGAAUUGCAAAAAGAUGUUAGAAAAGCAGAAGAAGAACUAGGUGAGCUUGAAGCAAAGCUCAAUGAAAACCUGCGCAGAAAUAUUGAAAGGAUUAAUAAUGAAAUCAAUCAGUUGAUGAACCAAAUGCAGCAGAUUGAGACCCAGCAAAGGAAAUUUAAAGCCUCUAGAUAUAGCAUAUUGUCAGAAAUGAAGACGCUAAAAGAGAAGAGGCAGCAGUCAGAGAAAACCUUCAUGCCUAAGCAACGUAGCUUACAGAGUUUGGAGGCAAGCUUGCACGCUAUGGAGUCUACCAGAGAGUCAUUGAAAGCAGAACUGGGAACUGAUUUGCUUUCUCAACUGAGUCUGGAAGAUCAGAAGAGAGUAGAUGCACUGAAUGAUGAGAUUCGUCAGCUUCAGCAGGAAAACAGACAGUUACUAAAUGAAAGAAUUAAAUUAGAAGGUAUUAUUACUCGAGUAGAGACUUAUCUCAAUGAGAAUCUGAGAAAACACUUGGACCAAGUAGAACAGGAAAUUAAUGAGCUGAGAGAGACAGAAGGGGGUACUGUUCUCACUGCCACAACAUCAGAACUUGAAGCCAUCAAUAAAAGAGUGAAAGACACUAUGGCACGAUCAGAAGAUUUGGACAAUUCCAUUGAUAAAACAGAAGCUGGAAUUAAGGAACUUCAAAAGAGUAUGGAGCACUGGAAAAAUAUGGAAAAAGAACAUAUGGAUGCUAUAAAUCAUGAUACGAAAGAACUGGAAAAGAUGACAAAUCGGUAAGGCAUGCUAUUGAAGAAGAAAGAAGAGUGUAUGAAGAAAAUUUGAGAACUCGGAUCACUACCCCAGGAAGCAUUUGAAAAGUACCAGAUGCUAAGCCUCAAACAGUUGUUUCCAAAACCUGAGCAGUGCAACACUGAAUUAAAGAAGUAUAGUCAUGUUAAAAAAAAAAGGCUUUGGAUCAGUUUGUAAAUUUCUCUGAGCAGAAAGAAAAGUUAAUAAAGCGACAAGAAGAGUUAGAUAGAGGUUACAAAUUAAUCAUGGAGCUGAUGAAUGUACUUGAACUUCGGAAAUAUGAAGCUAUUCAGUUAACUUUCAAACAGGUAUCCAAGAACUUCAGUGAAGUAUUCCAGAAGUUAGUACCUGGUGGCAAAGCCACCUUGGUGAUUAAGAAAGGAGAUGUGGAGGGCAGUCAGUCUCAAGAUGAAGGAGAAGGGAGUGGUGAGAGUGAGAGGGGUUCUGGCUCACAAAGCAGUGUCCCGUCAGUUGACCAGUUUACUGGAGUUGGAAUUAGGAUGUCAUUUACAGGAAAACAAGGUGAAAUGAGAGAAAUGCAACAGCUUUCAGGUGGACAGAAAUCCUUGGUAGCCCUUGCUCUGAUUUUUGCCAUUCAGAAAUGUGACCCCGCUCCUUUUUACUUGUUUGAUGAGGUUGACCAGGCUCUGGAUGCUCAGCACAGAAAGGCUGUGUCAGAUAUGAUUAUGGAACUUGCUGUACAUGCUCAGUUUAUUACAGCUACUUUUAGGCCUGAACUGCUGGAGUCAGCUGACAAAUUCUAUGGUGUAAAGUUCAGAAACAAGGUUAGCCAUAUUGAUGUGAUCACAGCAGAGAUGGCCAAAGACUUCGUAGAAGAUGAUACCACACAUGGUUAAUUGGAAAAUACUACCUACUGGUUUGGGAGAUGUGUAUAGAUGUGUAUAGUUACCCACGAACUGUAAAUUUAAACCUAAAUAUUUGACCAUUAUUAGUAGUUUUCAGAUUUAAAGCAUCAUAGUCCUUUUAUAUUUGUCUUUGUAUUUUAUAAGAUACGCUGUAAUGUUUCUACCUAUAGUUUAAGAAUUUUAUUUCCUGUACAACUUUUUGUAAAAUGUCCUGCUCCUAUUUUAAAUUUUUUGAAACAUGCUAAAUAUUCUUUCCUAGUUAUUUUAUCACUUAUACUGCCUUUUUUAAAUAGCUUCAAUUAAAUAAUCGGUAUUAUGACUAAAAAAAGA